rfam:Aedes albopictus isolate Foshan contig12349, whole genome shotgun sequence.
UGUUCGGUGGCUUAGUUGGUUAAAGCGCCGGUCUAGCGAAUACGGAGUCGUGGGUUUGAAUCCCACCAGAACGC